AACAUGACUCUUGGCAAUGGAUAUCUUAUAUCUCACCCUGAUGAAGAAUGUAGUGAAAUAUCAUACUUAGUGUGAAUUGUAGAAUCUUGUGAAUCAUCAAGCCUUUGAACAUAAGUUAUACCUGAGGCCUCGACUGAUGGCACGUCUUCUUAGGCAUUGUAC
rnacentral:rRNA from 1 species